rnacentral:rRNA from 1 species
UACGGAGGGUGCAAGCGUUAUCCGGAUUCACUGGGUUUAAAGGGUGCGUAGGUGGGUUGGUAAGUCAGUGGUGAAAUCUCCGUGCUUAACAUGGAACUGCCAUUGAUACUACUGAUCUUGAAUUUUCUGGAGGUAAGCGGAAUAUGUCAUGUAGCGGUGAAAUGCUUAGAUAUGACAUAGAACACCAAUUGCGAAGGCAGCUUGCUACAGGGAUAUUGACACUGAGGCACGAAAGCGUGGGGAUCAAACAGG